UCUUGGGUUGAGUUUCUUUACUCUUCUCUUGAGUUUCCUCACGGUUUUGUGCAAUGUUGGGUCACCUUGGUUGACUCUGCCCUAAGUUAUUGGGCUGGCCUUUGGGGCCCCUAGUAUGAUUUAUCAUACUAACCCCAGAGGUUAAUUUCUACUAUGUCUAUGAAUUGAUGUAUGAAAAAAGUUAUUUGUUAACUUGAAGGCUUUUGCUGUAAAAAGUGAGUCUUUAAAAACAACUCUUGGCAAUGGAUCUCUUGGUUCUCGCAUCGAUGAAGAGCGUAGCAAAGUGCGAUAAUUAUUGCGACUUGCAUUCAUAGUGAAUCAUCGAGUUCUUGAACGCAUCUUGCGCCUAGUAGUCAAUCUACUAGGCACAGUUGUUUCAGUAUCUGCAUCCACCAAUCAACACGACUUGCUUGUGUUGGAACUGGGCUUACUUUUGAUGGCAUUUAGUUGCUGUCAUGGCCUUAAAUGUAUUUAGUCCUAGGUGUUAACUUGUUAAUGCCGGAUGGAGACUCUAGAGUGCCUUAGAAGCAGCUUGGUUAGUGAGUUCAUAAUUCCAAGUGUUAGUCUUUUAUUGAACUGGGUUUCUAGUCUAUGGGACAUGGAGUCGUAAGACUCUUAAACAACAAACUCACAUUUAGAUCUGAAAUCAACUGAGACCACCCGCUGAACUUAAGCAUAUCAAAAGCGCGGAGGGAAGAUCAAUACUGAAAGGUUACUAAGACUCUUGGGUUGGAGUUUCUUUACUCUUCUCUUGAGUUUUCUCACGGUUUUGUGCAAUGUU
rnacentral:rRNA from 1 species